rnacentral:lncRNA from 1 species
CAAACAGCUUGCUACAUCUCUUCCUCCCAGUUUUCCCGGGACAGUACUCUAUUGCUUCCAACACUUAACGCUGCAGAGAGGUCUGAGGGAUAUGUCUCUAAAAGGGCUGUUCUUCACAGAUGUCUGAGGCCACCUUCAAUUAAACCCAAGCCUCUUCCUGUUCUACUGGAGCCCCUGGCUUACCCAUGGAUGAAAGAAGUUUAAAGUUGAGAUUUGUUCUACAAAAUGGCAUCCCUUCUGUUUGAGUUUUGGUAAGAACUUCACCAAUAUAGAUGUCAACUAUUUCCAUAAUCCGUAGCAAGUUGCAAAACCACCUGUUUUAGUUCUGGUAGUACUUGCUGCUUUAAAAAAGAAAUCCCCGGCCGGGCGCGGUGGCUCAAGCCUGCAAUCCCAGCACUUUGGGAGGCCGAGACGG